GUGACUUGCAAAUUGCUGAGAACUAUGAAAUUAAAACUGUAACAGUGGUUUUGCUGUUAAAAGACGGAGAGAAGCGAGAGUCGGUAGUUGGCAAAAUGCCAAAGGAAUUCUAUGGUGCUGCCAUUGAGAGGGUCCUCCAUUUGUAAACAUGUGUCAAUGCCUGAGUUGAAAAUCAACAAAGUUGACUGGUUUUUUCAGCAGGUAUCAAAAGAUCUCUUUCAUCUUGAAUUUUCGUUUGCUCUCAAGUACAUUUCUUUUACAGUGUUUACAAAUGUACUGUUUAUCACCAUAGGUGCUGGGGUUUACCUUUGCCUUUCUUAUAUUCUGUAAAUGCAAUGUUUAUAAUCUUUAAUGCCUUGCAGUAUAUCUGAAUAUUUUAUUUCAGUGUAUUCGUGCUGUUUUAUAUAUACAACUGUUCCCUUUCACAGCUACUGAAACUGGA
rnacentral:misc_RNA from 1 species